rnacentral:rRNA from 1 species
ACGGGUGCGUAACGCGUAUGCAACCUACCUUGAUCAGGGGGAUAGCCCGGAGAAAUCCGGAUUAACACCGCAUGAAUACACAGGACCGCAUGGUUCAAUGUCCAAACAUUUAUGGGAUCAAGAUGGGCAUGCGUGCCAUUAGCUAGUUGGCGGGGUAACGGCCCACCAAGGCGACCAUGGCUAGGGGAUCUGAGAGGAUGGCCCCCCACACUGGUACUGAGACACGGACCAAACUCCUACGGGAGGCAGCAGUAAGGAAUAUUGGUCAAUGGGCGCAAGCCUGAACCAGCCAUGCCGCGUGCAGGAAGACGGCCCUCCGGGUUGUAAACUGCUUUUAUACCGGAAUAAACCUCCCUACGUGUAGGGAGCUGAAUGUACGGUAGGAAUAAGGAUCGGCUAACUCCGUGCCAGCAGCCGCGGUAAUACGGAGGAUCCGAGCGUUAUCCGGAUUUAUUGGGUUUAAAGGGUGCGUAGGCGGCCUGUUAAGUCAGGGGUGAAAGACGGUGGCUCAACCAUCGCAGUGCCCUUGAUACUGACGGGCUUGAAUUAACUAGAGGCAGGCGGAAUGUGACAAGUAGCGG